UUGAACUGAAGAGUUUGAUCCUGGCUCAGAUUGAACGCUGGCGGCAUGCCUUACACAUGCAAGUCGAACGGCAGCACGGGGAGGGGCAACCCUCCCUGGUGGCGAGUGGCGAACGGGUGAGUAAUGCAUCGGAACGUGUCCUCUUGUGGGGGAUAACCAGUCGAAAGGCUGGCUAAUACCGCAUGAGCCUGAGAGGGGAAAGCGGGGGAUUCGAAAGAACCUCGCGCGAGUGGAGCGGCCGAUGGCCGAUUAGCUAGUUGGUGGGGUAAAGGCCCACCAAGGCGACGAUCGGUAGCUGGUCUGAGAGGAUGAUCAGCCACACUGGGACUGAGACACGGCCCAGACUCCUACGGGAGGCAGCAGUGGGGA
rnacentral:rRNA from 1 species